rnacentral:rRNA from 1 species
UACGAGGGACCUAGCGUUGUUCGGAAUCAUUGGGCGUAAAGGGUGCGUAGGCGGCCAAGUAAGUCAGUUGUGAAAGCCCCGGGCUCAACCCGGGAAGUGCUUCUGAUACUGCUUGGCUUGAGUAUUGGAGAGGUGAGUGGAAUUCCAGGUGUAGUGGUGAAAUACGUAGAUAUCUGGAGGAACACCGGCGGCGAAGGCGGCUCACUGGCCAUAUACUGACGCUGAAGCACGAAAGCGUGGGGAUCAAACAGG